GGCCUACAGGCCCCCCCGCCCCCCCCACGGCGGGGCCUUCCCGGGGGGCCCGGCCGGGGGUCCCCAGACCCCCCCGGAGCAGCCGCGGCCGCCUCUUGGGGCCCGGCGAGCACGGGCAGCGCAGGGGGAGCACCCCGGGGGCAGGGGUGGGCGAGGGGGUCGGGCAGGGGGCCCCGCACAGGCGGUGGGCACGAGGACAGAUAAUGGUGGCUUUAUUAGUACCGAUUUUAGGUAGUUUUGGGCUGGGGAAAUAAAAAAGACACCGUAUCAGAGAGGACUCUGCUUAACAGCCAUUUUCCAUUGUUUGAAAGGAGAAGUCAUGAAGGUGAGCGCAGAGUUGCUUGCAGAUGGCCUCCAGAACAAGCUGCUCCAACACCUUUCCAGGACAGAGGACCUUUCAAAGAUGAUGGCGAGUGGUUUGGCGAUCACCUCUGCCAGCUCCCUCAGCACACGCGGAUGCAUCCCGUCGGGACCCACGGAUUUGUGCGCACUGAGCCCACUCAGACGCUCCUGGACCACCCCCUCACCAACCAGGGGGGAGCCCUCCAUUUCCCAGACUCUUUCUCCUCCCUCCAGGGUCCAGGAGUCCCAGGGGGGAGUCUUUGAAGCAAAAACCGAAGGAAAGAAGGCAUUCAGUACCUCUGCCUUCUCAGCAUCCUGUGUUACCAGGACACUCCCCUCAUUCAGCAAGGGACCCAGUUUUCCUUUUACUGUUUACAUAAAAAAAAAAAAAAGAAAACAAAACCUUCUUAUUAUCCUUUAUCUCCUUUGCCAGGUGGGCUUUGG